rnacentral:rRNA from 1 species
AGAGUUUGAUCCUGGCUCAGGACGAACGCUGGCGGCGUGCUUAACACAUGCAAGUCGAACGGUGACGGAGGAGCUUGCUCCUCCUGAUCAGUGGCGAACGGGUGAGUAACACGUGAGCAAUCUGCCCCUGACUCUGGGAUAACCUCGGGAAACCGAAGCUAAUACCGGAUACGAAGCGCGAAGGCAUCUUCAGCGCUUGGAAAGAAUUUCGGUCAGGGAUGAGCUCGCGGCCUAUCAGUUAGUUGGUGAGGUAACGGCUCACCAAGACGACGACGGGUAGCCGGCCUGAGAGGGUGACCGGCCACACUGGGACUGAGACACGGCCCAGACUCCUACGGGAGGCAGCAGUGGGGAAUAUUGCACAAUGGGCGCAAGCCUGAUGCAGCAACGCCGCGUGAGGGAUGACGGCCUUCGGGUUGUAAACCUCUUUUAGCAGGGAAGAAGCGAAAGUGACGGUACCUGCAGAAAAAGCACCGGCUAACUACGUGCCAGCAGCCGCGGUAAUACGUAGGGUGCAAGCGUUGUCCGGAAUUAUUGGGCGUAAAGAGCUCGUAGGCGGUUUGUCGCGUCUGCUGUGAAAACGCGAGGCUCAACCUCGCGCCUGCAGUGGGUACGGGCAAACUAGAGUGCGGUAGGGGAGAUUGGAAUUCCUGGUGUAGCGGUGGAAUGCGCAGAUAUCAGGAGGAACACCGAUGGCGAAGGCAGAUCUCUGGGCCGUAACUGACGCUGAGGAGCGAAAGCGUGGGGAGCGAACAGGAUUAGAUACCCUAGUAGUCC